rnacentral:rRNA from 1 species
GUGAGGAAUAUUGGUCAAUGGGCGGGAGCCUGAACCAGCCAAGUCGCGUGAAGGAAGAAGGAUCUAUGGUUCGUAAACUUCUUUUGCAGGGGAAUAAAGUGCAGGACGUGUCCUGUUUUGUAUGUACCCUGAGAAUAAGGAUCGGCUAACUCCGUGCCAGCAGCCGCGGUAAUACGGAGGAUCCGGGCGUUAUCCGGAUUUAUUGGGUUUAAAGGGUGCGUAGGUGGUUUGAUAAGUCAGCGGUGAAAGUUUGCAGCUUAACUGUAAAAAUGCCGUUGAAACUGUCGGACUUGAGUGUAAAUGAGGUAGGCGGAAUGCGUGGUGUAGCGGUGAAAUGCAUAGAUAUCACGCAGAACUCCGAUUGCGAAGGCAGCUUACUAAGCUACAACUGACACUGAAGCACGAAAGCGUGGGGAUCAAACAGGAUUAGAAACCCGUGUAGUCC